rnacentral:rRNA from 1 species
GAUGAACGCUGGCGGCGUGCCUAAUACAUGCAAGUCGAGCGAACGGACGAGAAGCUUGCUUCUCUGAUGUUAGCGGCGGACGGGUGAGUAACACGUGGAUAACCUACCUAUAAGACUGGGAUAACUUCGGGAAACCGGAGCUAAUACCGGAUAAUAUUUUGAACCGCAUGGUUCAAAAGUGAAAGACGGUCUUGCCGUCACUUAUGGAUGGAUCCGCGCUGCAUUAGCUAGUUGGUAAGGUAACGGCUUACCAAGGCAACGAUGCAUAGCCGACCUGAGAGGGAGAAGCGGCAACACGGAACGGAAGCCGCGCUCAGGACUCAGCGGGGGGGCAGCGUUGGGAAUUCUACGAAAGGGGGCAAAGCCUGACCGGAAAACCGCGCGUGAGGAAAUAAGGUUUUGGGGUUGAAAAACUUUUUUUAUGGGGGAAAAAAAAUUGGGAAGUAACUGGGGACAUUUUGGGGGAACAAAAAAAAAAAGCCCGCGGAAACCUAG